CCUACGGGCGGCAGCAGUGGGGGAUAUUGGACAAUGGGGGGAACCCUGAUCCAGCGACGCCGCGUGAGUGAAGAAGUCUUUCGGUAUGUAAAGCUCUGUCAGCAGGGAAGAAAGACAUGACGGUACCUGACCCAGAAGCCCCGGCUAACUACGUGCCAGCAGCCGCGGUAAUACGUAGGGGGCAAGCGUUAUCCGGAAUUACUGGGUGUACAGGGAGCGUAGACGGUUAAGUAAGUCUGGAGUGAAAGGCCGGGGCCCAACCCCGGGACUGCUCUGGAAACUAUUGAACUUGAGUGCAGGAUAGGUAAGCGGAAUUCCUAGUGUAGCGGUGAAAUGCGUAGAUAUUAGGAGGAACACCAGUGGCGAAGGCGGCUUACUGGACUGUAACUGACGUUGAGGCUCGAAAGCGUGGGGAGCAAACAGGAUUAGAUACCCGAGUAGUC
rnacentral:rRNA from 1 species